rnacentral:misc_RNA from 1 species
ACAUUGCUUGCGAUGCAGAGACGCCACCGAGUAAAUACGUUGAUUUACCAAAAAUAGACGACUCUAUGGACGCGCUGCCGUCGUAUCCCGAUUUGGCGACCCUGUGCCGCCUGUGCCUCAAGGAGCACCAGGAUGCGUACGCCAUCUUCGACGAGGACGACGCCCAGCUCUCGAUUCCCGUGCGCCUGAUGGCCUGCGUCUCACUGGACGCCAAGGCGACGGAUACUCUGCCGAAGAGGAUCUGUCAGGAGUGCCGCUACCAGCUGGAAAAGUCAUUCCUCUUCCGGCAGCGCUGCCAGUGGGCGGAGAAGAAGCUUCGCAAGCAUGUCCGGCUUCUGGGGCUCGGGAAGCGAAGCCGCGUCUUCUCCAAGGAUCCGGACGACUAUGACGAGGACGAGCUGGAGUUUGAGGAUUCGAUAGCCUUCAUCGAGGCGCAGGACAAAGUGCGCAAGUUGGAGGACGAAAAGUGGCGAGACGAGUUCAAGGAAGAACAGACAGCGGAAAUGCACAAGCGGUUGGUCAAAUCUCGUCUAGAACUUCGAACCAAGUUGACCACCGAGCUGCGAAAGGAACUGGCGGAGGAAGUGCGCAGUGAGGUGCGCAAGGAACUGGCCGAGGAGGUGCGCAACCAGGUUAGAGACGACCUGCGAAACGAGGUUAGCGAGGACAUUAGAAAGGAGCAGCUGGCCAUGCUGUUAGGCGAAUUGGAGGUGUAUCUCACCGAGAAGAAGGCCGGUCGCUGGGAGUCCUUGGAUGGGUCCGAGCCGGAGUCCAAGACGCAAGCCAAUGAAGACGCCUCCACCCCCAGGCCAAAACUUAAAUCUCUUCCAAAGCGACGCCCCAGCUUGGUCGUCGCCAAUCAAAAGGUGAUACAGCCCACGAAGGAUGCAAAAGAGGAAGAAUUUAUAUUGGGGUGCAAUUCCGAACCCGUAAGUACGAGCGAUGUAAACAUAGAUGGCCUCGAACUGGAGGAGGAAGUACCCGCGGAUAGUGGUGAAGAUUUCAGGGAUAUCAACAUGGUUGGAUCGGGGGAUGUAGUGCACACAGAUAAUGGAGAGAUUUACAUCAUAAACUCCGCUAGCUCGGAGGAUCAAAACCAGGACUCCACUCCCGAAUUUGACCAGGACAACGGAAUAACCUCCUAUAACAGUAAUCAAGGAAGAUGGCGAGAUUCAGUUCAGUGGCGAAAAGCCAGAGGAAAUCGAAGACGUGGUGGUGUUUAACCUGGGCGAGGAGAUAUCUCAGGAGCAACAGGUCUUCAGCUUCCACGAAAAUGUCAUUAUAGUGGAAAAGGAACAGAACGAUGGACAUGAGCAGUCGCCUCUCAAGCGAAAAAGGUCGAGUGAGUUGGUGUUCAAGCAGGAGUCCAGUUGCCCUCAA